rnacentral:rRNA from 1 species
AUUAAACUGAAGAGUUUGAUCCUGGCUCAGAUUGAACGCUGGCGGCAUGCCUUACACAUGCAAGUCGAACGGCAGCACGGGAGCAAUCCUGGUGGCGAGUGGCGAACGGGUGAGUAAUACAUCGGAACGUGCCCUGUCGUGGGGGAUAACUAGUCGAAAGAUUAGCUAAUACCGCAUACGACCUGAGGGUGAAAGCGGGGGACCGUAAGGCCUCGCGCGAUAGGAGCGGCCGAUGUCUGAUUAGCUAGUUGGUGGGGUAAAGGCCCACCAAGGCGACGAUCAGUAGCUGGUCUGAGAGGACGAUCAGCCACACUGGGACUGAGACACGGCCCAGACUCCUACGGGAGGCAGCAGUGGGGAAUUUUGGACAAUGGGGGCAACCCUGAUCCAGCAAUGCCGCGUGUGUGAAGAAGGCCUUCGGGUUGUAAAGCACUUUUGUCCGGAAAGAAAUCCCUUGCCCUAAUACGGCGGGGGGAUGACGGUACCGGAAGAAUAAGCACCGGCUAACUACGUGCCAGCAGCCGCGGUAAUACGUAGGGUGCGAGCGUUAAUCGGAAUUACUGGGCGUAAAGCGUGCGCAGGCGGUUUUGUAAGACAGGCGUGAAAUCCCCGAGCUCAACUUGGGAAUGGCGCUUGUGACUGCAAGGCUAGAGU